AAGCCUCGAUGCUACCCCAAGGCUACUUCCUGCCCUGAAUCCUUCAAAAGAUCAGCGCGGAUGAAUAGCGAAGCAGCCUCUCUCUGGGGUGAGAAAACUUGAUGUCACCAACUAUUUUGUUCUCUUCAAUGAUAUCAUCAUAUCAUUUUCUUAGAUUUUCUUGAAAUCUUGGUUCUUCUGCAGUUUCUUCUGAUGAAACUGUUGAAUUGUGUUCUUUGCUUUCUUCAAAUGCUCCAUAGAUUCCCAGAUGUUUUCUGAGAUAUCAUAUUCUUUUCAUUUUAUCAAAUAGUGUUUCUUGUUGCUGAUCUUUUAUCUUUUCAGUAUUGUUUUGACUUCAUAUUCUGAUUCUUCAGUGUUGAUUUCUAUUUUUUGCUGUUCUGCAUUUUCAGAUACUUUUUUUUUCCAGUAGUGAGAUAUGAAAGUUUGAGUGUAUCUGCUGAUAGUUUGAGUUUGUAAUUAAUUGAUUCAGUUUUCUGCAAAAUUUCAAAGAAUUCCAAUUUCUUAAAGUUCAGUUUGUUGCUUGAUCUUUUGGUUUUGAUAUUUCAUUAUAGUAGAAAUACUUUAUCUCUCUCUUUAAAUUGAGAUGUCUUCUGAUGUCUUUUGUCAUAGUAUUCUUUGAGUUUUUGACUCAUUUUGCCACAAAAAAAAUCAAUGUCUAAUACUAAUUGUUCCUGCAAUUUGCAAAGCAGGCAGCUGCUGCAGGCUUGCUUUUUCUAUUGCUUCAUUUGUCAAGUUUUUCAUUGAUAAUUUCAUUCUUUGCAUGUCUGGUUCUCUUUUAUAGUUGGUGAAAAACUGUGUGAAUUCUGUCAUUGCAUUCUUUGAACUGUUGUAUGCUAUCUGUGCCAUUGGCAGUAAUUCAAUUCAAUUGUUCUGUUGAUAGUUGAUAUAGCAUCUGAGAUAUUGUUCAACUGUCUGAUUCGGUGAGAAAAAGUUGGUCGGGAAAACUAGCAGUCAAAACCCUUGGGAACAAUAACAGGGUUGUCGAGUUAUUUCUACGAAUUAAGUGCUGGUAUUGCCGAUUGUAAACAUCA
rnacentral:sRNA from 1 species